UACAGAGGGUGCGAGCGUUAAUCGGAAUUACUGGGCGUAAAGCGCACGUAGUCGGCUUGGUAUGUCGGGUGUGAAAUCCCCGGGCUCAACCUGGGAACUGCAUCCGAAACUGCCUUGCUAGAGUAUGGGAGAGGGAAGCGGAAUUUCCGGUGUAGCAGUGAAAUGCGUAGAUAUCGGAAGGAACAUCAGUGGCGAAGGCGGCUUCCUGGACCAAUACUGACGAUCAGGUGCGAAAGCGUGGGGAGCAAACAGGAUUAGAUACCCUGGUAGUCCACGCCCUAAACGAUGAGAACUAGAUGUCGGGAGGGUCUGCCUUCCGGUGUCGCAGCUAACGCGUUAAGUUCUCCGCCUGGGAAGUACGGCCGCAAGGUUGAAACUCAAAG
rnacentral:rRNA from 1 species